rnacentral:rRNA from 1 species
GACUGCGUACCUUUUGUAUAAUGGGUCAGCGACUUAUUGUCUGUAGCGAGCUUAACCGUAUAGGGGAGGCGUAGGGAAACCGAGUCUUAAUAGGGCGUCUUAGUUGCAGGCAAUAGACCCGAAACCGGGCGAUCUAUCCAUGGCCAGGCUGAAGGUUAGGUAACACUGACUGGAGGGCCGAACCCACUAAUGUUGAAAAAUUAGGGGAUGAGCUGUGGAUCGGAGUGAAAGGCUAAUCAAGCCCGGAGAUAGCUGGUUCUCCUCGAAAUCUAUUUAGGUAGAGCGUCAUGUCUCACCCUGGGGGGUAGAGCACUGUUUGGGCUAGGGGGUCAUCCCGACUUACCAACCCCAUGCAAACUCCGAAUACCCAGGAGUGCAAUCAUGGCAGACAGACGGCGGGUGCUAACGUCCGUCGUCGAGAGGGCAACAACCCAGACCGCCAGCUAAGGUCCCCAAUACCAAUUAAGUGGGAAACGAUGUGGGAAGGCUUAGACAGCUAGGAGGUUGGCUUAGAAGCAGCCAUCCUUUAAAGAAAGCGUAACAGCUCACCUAUCAAG